rnacentral:rRNA from 1 species
CAGGCCUAACACAUGCAAGUCGAACGAGAAAGUGGAGCAAUCCAUGAGUAAAGUGGCGACCGGGUGAGUAACACGUGACUAACCUACCUUCGAGUGGGGGAUAACCUAGGGAAACCUGGGCUAAUACCGCAUAACAUCUUUGGAGUGGAAAUUCUGGAGAUCAAAAGAGCAAUUUGCUUGAAGAGGGGGUCGCGGCUGAUUAGCUAGUUGGCGGGGUAAUGGCCCACCAAGGCUUUGAUCGGUAGCCGGCCUGAGAGGGCGCACGGCCACACUGGAACUGAAACACGGUCCAGACUCCUACGGGAGGCAGCAGUGGGGAAUUUUGCGCAAUGGGGGAAACCCUGACGCAGCAACGCCGCGUGGAGGAUGAAGUCCCUUGGGACGUAAACUCCUUUCGACCGGGACGAUUAUGACGGUACCGGUGGAAGAAGCCCCGGCUAACUUCGNGCCAGCAGCCGCGGUAAUACA